GGAAACUGGGCAGGAUCGAAGGCCUCCUUGGCUGCUUGAUGGAAGCUGAUGCGAAGAGGAUCGGCCGGUGUGUGCGCUGUUUGCUCGGUCAAUCGUCUGAACUCGGCAGGGCACGCACGCACAGUCCGUUUCAUCUUAUAAGGUUUGGCUUAACGCUGCCUGUCUUAACGCUUUCUUUAAGCCUGCCUACCUACCUGCCUGCCUGCCUGCCUACUGCCUACCUGCCUAACUGCCUGCCUGCCUGCCUACCUGCCUGCCUACCUACCUGCCUACCUGCCUGCCUACCUGCCUGCCUACCUACCUGCCUACCUGCCUGCCUGCCUGCCUGCCUACCUGCCUGCCUACCUACCUGCCUACCUACCUGCCUACCUGCCUACCUGCCUACCUGCCUACCUGCCUACCUGCCUACCUGCCUGCCUACCUACCUGCCUACCUGCCUGCCUACCUGCCUGCCUACCUACCUGCCUACCUGCCUACCUGCCUGCCUGCCUACCUGCCUGCCUACCUGCCUGCCUACCUACCUGCCUACCUGCCUACCUGCCUACCUGCCUACCUGCCUACCUGCCUACCUGCCUGCUUGCCUACCUGCCUGCCUACCUACCUGCCUACCUGCCUGCCUGCCUACCUGCCUGCCUACCUACCUGCCUACCUGCCAACCUGCCUACCUGCCUACCUGCCUGCCUGCCUACCUACCUGCCUACCUGCCUACCUGCCUACCUGCCUACCUGCCUGCCUGCCUACCUGCCUGCCUACCUGCCUACCUGCCUACCUGCCUACAUGCUAUGCGGUAUAUUUGUGCUGACACAACGCUACUAGAUGCAUGGGCGUGUUUGUGAGGUGUCAGUUCGUGCAUGCAGCCGAACUCUUUUCGGAGCCGGCGAAUCAUUUCACUGGAGGUGAACUACAGUGUGUGUCGGUAUGUAUACUUACGUCAUCUU
rnacentral:lncRNA from 1 species